rnacentral:rRNA from 1 species
UACGUAGGCAGCAAGCGUUGUUCGGAGUUACUGGGCGUAAAGGGGUGCGUAGGCGGCUUCUUAAGUCUGGUGUGAAAUCUCCCGGCUCAACUGGGAGGGUGCGCCGGAUACUGAGGGGCUAGAGUGUGGGAGAGGAAAGUGGAAUUCCUGGUGUAGCGGUGAAAUGCGUAGAUAUCAGGAGGAACACCGGUGGUGUAAACGGCUUUCUGGACCAUAACUGACGCUGAGGCACGAAAGCGUGGGUAGCAAACAGG